rnacentral:rRNA from 1 species
UACGGAGGGUGCGAGCGUUAAUCGGAAUAACUGGGCGUAAAGGGCACGCAGGCGGGCUUUUAAGUGAGAUGUGAAAUCCCCGGGCUUAACCUGGGAAUAGCAUUUCAGACUGGCAGGCUAGAGUCUUGUAGAGGGGGGUAGAAUUCCAGGUGUAGCGGUGAAAUGCGUAGAGAUCUGGAGGAAUACCGGUGGCGAAGGCGGCCCCCUGGACAAAGACUGACGCUCAGGUGCGAAAGCGUGGGGAGCAAACAGG